rnacentral:lncRNA from 1 species
CGAAAACUAAACACCGAAUUUUAAACAACAAAUACGAAUUGAAGUCAAAAUGGAAUUCAGCAAUACAGAUACAAUAAUUGGAUUUUUAUGGCGGCUUCUAAGAACAGUCUGGAGAUUCCUGUGCUGCUGUGGACAUGAUAACUCUGACGUUCAGUUCUCAGUUGAAGAAACAGCGCCAUCUCUUGGUGUCAGCACUGUACGACCAUGGAAUUAUGGUGGAGGUAUUAUCAGGACAGUUUAGAACACUUGAAUCAAGAUUAAGAAACAACUUUAAAUUUAGCACUUAUAAGAUGGAGGAUUGGCCCCCUUGAAAUCAUUGUUGCCCCAGCCACAUCUGUUGCAAAUUCCUGAGAGGAGCCGAUGUCGAGGUGGGACAGAGUUACUGGCGCUCUCGCCCCAUGAAGCGAAGAAUUAUGAAGUAUGAAGAAGGAGCUCUGGAACUACGUUGGGUUUGGUUUGGUCCAUGCAAAGCAGCAUUAGAGCAUAAUCUUGUCUAUUUGAUGGUAAUAGGGAGCCGUGCCACGUGUUGUCACUAAGAUUUAAUUUGACCAACAGUGUUGAGAUUUCUGAUGUCAAAUUAAUUCAAUCUCUCAUUAAUUCCUGCUUCAUCGUGAGCAAGAAUAUCAGAGCUCAGCACACAAUUUUAUACCAAAGUUCAACGAGAAUAUUUAAGGCCAGUUAGUAAGUAUAUUUCUUCUCUUUCAAAGAAAAUAGUCCCAAAAGAAGCCAAAGCAUCAAGCUAUCAAAUUAUGCACAGACUGGAUGUAAAUAAAUACAUUAUUGGAGUAUUGUCUUACUUCAUCAAAGCAUAAUAUCUUACUUUUUG